UUUUUUUAUGGGGCGAUGAAGCAGAAUUGAAGUUUGUCAAACCUUCUCUUUUUUCUCAAGAUGGCCGAUGAAACAGUCCGAACACUUUCUGAUUUAUCAAUCUUGUUUUCAGAACUAGAUAUACCGGAGAAAUUUUGUGAAAUAUUCCUCGAUAUUAAAACUUUGAUAUCAUUAUCGGCAGUUAAAAUCAUCGAUAAAUUUUCUAAUGGUGGUAUUGCUCCUGAAAUUUACGAAACAUAUUUCAGUGAAUUAUAUAAAUGGAAGUCCCAUGAUAUUGUUCCAGUAAUAUUGAAGGACCUAGAUUUACCGUUAGAAUUUUUCAACUUGUGGAAAGAUAAGGAUUUCUUUACAGAUCGAAGACGGUAGCUUAUCUUUUUUCUGUUUUGCAGACUUUCACCUUGGCAUUCAGGAUUUGCAAAGCAUCUCGCCGGAUGAGUUGAAUGUCAUUUUGGAUCGUUCUCAAAUUAACUGGGAUCAAGAAGAAAUUAAUAGAAUACUUGUAAGCUGGCGAGGUGUAAAGGGUAUCGAGAUUCUCGACUUCGAAGAAAUUGAUGCAAUCGAAAAAGAAUAUUCACCCGAAAGUGUCGCGUAUAUAGGAGACAACAAAGCUGUGAGUGAUAACUUCGCAAACCUCAGUAACGGUUUUGACCAGUCGAAUUUACAAGCGCAGGGAGCAUUUAAGGAAACGCAAAGUGGCGAUAGAAAUACUAAUGAAGAUAAUUGUCAUUUUUGGUGAUGAUUGUAUUGUAGAUGUACACAGCCAAACAGACUUGGUGAACGAAGCGGAUAGUAGCGAUAUCCACGAUCAAAGUGUAGUUAUUAGUUACACUGACAACGCGGAUUGCCAAACCUCAAAUGUUGCGACUGUAGCAGGGUGUAACAUAACACAAAGUUGUUCGGGAGAAACAUCUGGUAGAUAUUUUAAAAUACUAUAAGGGUGAAACGAUUCAAUGGACUAUAUUAACAUAUGGAUGUUAAGCAUAGUUCAAACAAAACAGAUGCAAUAUAAAAUAAUGUAUUGAAUAGCAGUAGAUUUCCAAAUAAUAAUUCAAAUAAAAAUAAAUUAAAUUA